rnacentral:pre_miRNA from 1 species
GAGAGAAACGAAUUCUGGUGCCAUCUUACUUUACAGCAUUAGAUUUGUACGAACAUUUUCUAAUACUGUCAGGUAAAGAUGUCCACAAAGUUCGUGAA